rnacentral:rRNA from 1 species
AGUGAACGCUGGCGGUAGGCCUAACACAUGCAAGUCGAACGGCAGCACAGUAAGAGCUUGCUCUUACGGGUGGCGAGUGGCGGACGGGUGAGGAAUACAUCGGAAUCUACUUUUUCGUGGGGGAUAACGUAGGGAAACUUACGCUAAUACCGCAUACGACCUACGGGUGAAAGCAGGGGAUCUUCGGACCUUGCGCGAUUGAAUGAGCCGAUGUCGGAUUAGCUAGUUGGCGGGGUAAAGGCUCACCAAGGCGACGAUCCGUAGCUGGUCUGAGAGGAUGUUCAGCCACACGGGACUUGAGCACGGGCCCGACCCCCUAGGGGGGCAACGAGGGGGAAAUUUUGAAAAUGGGGGGAAACCUUGUCCAGCCCAACCCGGGGGGGGAAAGAAGGCUUUGGGGUUGUAAACCCUUUUUUUUGGGAAAAAAAAGCAGGGGGUUAAACCCCCGCUUUUCUGACGGUCCCAAAAAAAAAAGCCCCGGCUAAUUUGGG